UACGAAGGGGGCUAGCGUUGCUCGGAAUCACUGGGCGUAAAGCGCACGUAGGCGGCUUUUUAAGUCAGAGGUGAAAUCCUGGAGCUCAACUCCAGAACUGCCUUUGAUACUGAGAGGCUUGAGUCCGGGAGAGGUGAGCGGAACUGCGAGUGUAGAGGUGAAAUUCGUAGAUAUUCGCAAGAACACCAGUGGCGAAGGCGGCUCACUGGCCCGAUACUGACGCUGAGGCACGAAAGCGUGGGGAGCAAACAGG
rnacentral:rRNA from 1 species